CACCUUAGGUUGGUUAAUGCUACACCAACAAGGUAGACACAAUCCUUUGGAGUAGAACAUGAGCGAUAAAAUUAUUCACCUGACUGAC
rfam:Serratia proteamaculans 568, complete genome.